rnacentral:rRNA from 1 species
UACGUAGGCAGCGAGCGUUGUUCGGAGUUACUGGGCGUAAAGGGUGUGUAGGCGGUUGUUUAAGUUUGGUGUGAAAUCCCCCGGCUCAACUGGGAGGGUGCGCCGAAUACUGAAUGACUUGGAGUGCGGGAGAGGUGAGUGGAAUUCCUGGUGUAGCGGUGAAAUGCGUAGAUAUCAGGAGGAACACCGGUGGUGUAGACGGCUCACUGGACCGUAACUGACGCUGAGACACGAAAGCGUGGGUAGCAAACAGG